AUACGGAGGGUGCAAGCGUUAUUCGGAAUCACUGGGCGUAAAGGACGCGUAGGCGGGUUGGCAAGUCAGAUGUGAAAUCGUACAGCUUAACUGUAGAACUGCAUUUGAAACUGCUAACCUAGAGUAUGGGAGGGGGAGAUGGAAUUAGUGGUGUAGGGGUAAAAUCCGUAGAUAUCACUAGGAAUACCGAAAGCGAAGGCGAUCUCCUGGAACAUAACUGACGCUAAGGCGUGAAAGCGUGGGGAGCAAACAGGAUUAGAUACCCUAGUAGUCC
rnacentral:rRNA from 1 species